CGGGCAGCGGCUCAGUGGCAGAGCUCCCGCUUUGUAUGAGGGAAGACCUGGGUUCGAUUCCCGGCUGCUUGC
rnacentral:tRNA from 1 species